AUGCUUUGCCUCAGCUCCUCUCUCCUGCCGCGCCCGUCUGCCGCUGCUGACCGGCCGGCUCCCGGGAUCAUCGCGGGCGGCGGCGGCAAGCGGCUGAGCGUGGUGCCGGCUGUCCCGUUUUUACUUCGCUGGUCGUGGCCACGGAAGGCCAAGAGCAGGUCUUCUGUUUCCGUGACUGCACGAGGAAACAAAAUUGCGGCAGCAAAUGGAUAUGGUUCUGACCACCUUCCCAUGUAUGAUCUGGAACCAAAGUUGGCUGAAUUCAAAGACCACUUCAACUAUACGAUGAAAAGGUACCUUGAACAGAAACUUUUGAUUGAGAAACAUGAGGGAGGCCUAGAGGAAUUCUCUAAAGGCUAUUUGAAGUUUGGGAUCAACACGGAGCAUGGUGCAUCUCUGUACAGGGAAUGGGCCCCUGCAGCAGAGGAAGCACAACUAGUUGGUGACUUCAACAACUGGAAUGGUUCUGGCCACAAGAUGACGAAGGAUAACUUUGGCGUUUGGUCAAUCAGGAUUUCCCAUGUCAAUGGGAAACCUGCCAUCCCUCACAAUUCCAAGGUUAAAUUUCGAUUUAGGCAUGAUGGAGUAUGGGUUGAACGGAUUCCAGCAUGGAUUCGUUAUGCAACUGUUACUGCCUCUGAAUCUGGAGCUCCAUAUGAUGGUGUUCACUGGGAUCCACCAACUAGUGAAAGGUAUGUAUUUAACCAUCCUCGACCUCCAAAGCCUGAUGUUCCACGUAUCUAUGAGGCUCAUGUGGGGGUGAGUGGUGGAAAGCUUGAAGCAGGCACACACAGGGAAUUUGCAGACAAUGUGUUACCGCGCUUAAGGGCAACUACAUACAACACGGUUCAGUUGAUGGGAAUCAUGGAACAUUCUGACGCUGCUUCUUUUGGGUAUUAUGUGACGAAUUUCUUCGCAGUUAGCAGCAGAUCAGGCACACCAGACGACCUCAAAUAUCUUAUUGACAAGGCACAUAGUCUUGGAUUGUGUGUUCUGAUGGAUGUUGUCCACAGCCAUGCGAGCAAUAAUGUGAUAGAUGGUCUCAAUGGCUAUGAUGUUGGACAAAGUGCACACGAAUCCUAUUUCUACACAGGAGACAGGGGCUAUAAUAAGAUGUGGAAUGGCCGCAUGUUCAACUAUGCCAAUUGGGAGGUCCUAAGAUUCCUGCUUUCCAAUUUGAGAUAUUGGAUGGACGAAUUCAUGUUUGAUGGCUUCCGAUUUGUUGGGGUUACAUCGAUGCUAUAUAAUCAAAAUGGUAUCAAUAUGUCAUUCACUGGAAAUUACAAAGAGUAUUUUGGUUUGGAUACCAAUGUAGAUGCAGUUGUUUAUAUGAUGCUCGCGAACCAUUUAAUGCACAAACUCUACCCAGAAGCAAUUGUUGUGGCCGUAGAUGUUUCAGGCAUGCCAGUUCUUUGUUGGCCAGUUGAUGAAGGUGGAUUAGGGUUUGACUAUCGCCAGGCUAUGACUAUUCCCGAUAGAUGGAUUGAAUACUUGGAGAACAAAGGUGAUCAACAGUGGUCAAUGAGUAGUGUAAUAUCACAAACUUUGACUAACAGGCGAUAUCCGGAAAAGUUCAUUGCGUAUGCUGAGAGGCAAAAUCAUUCUAUUAUUGGCAGCAAGACUAUGGCAUUUCUCUUGAUGGGAUGGGAAACGUAUUCCGGUAUGUCGGCCAUGGAGCCUGAUUCACCUACAAUAGAUCGUGGCAUUGCACUUCAAAAGAUGAUUCAUUUCAUCAGGAUGGCCUUUGGAGGUGAUAGCUACUUAAAAUUUAUGGGUAAUGAGUACAUGAAUGCAUUUGAUCAAGCAGUGGACACGCCCAGCGAUAAAUGUUCCUUCCUAUCAUCAUCAAAGCAGACUGCCAGCGACAUGAAUGAGGAAGAAAAGGUACUUAACUAUACAAUCUUCAGUCAAGGCACUUGUUUGAAUCAUUUGUUUCACUCUUAUACUCUUUAG
rnacentral:rRNA from 1 species